rnacentral:rRNA from 1 species
AACGAACGCUGGCGGCAUGCCUAACACAUGCAAGUCGAACGAGACCUUCGGGUCUAGUGGCGAACGGGUGCGUAACGCGUGGGAACCUGCCCUUAGGUUCGGAAUAACUCCCCGAAAGGGGUGCUAAUACCGGUUAAUGUCUUCGGACCAAAGAUUUAUCGCCUUUGGAUGGGCCCGCGUUGGAUUAGCUAGUUGGUAGGGUAAAAGCCUACCAAGGCGACGAUACAUAGCUGGUCUGAGAGGAUGAUCAGCCACACUGGGACUGAGACACGGCCCAGACUCCUACGGGAGGCAGCAGUGGGGAAUAUUGGACAAUGGGCGAAAGCCUGAUCCAGCAAUGCCGCGUGAGUGAUGAAGGCCUUAGGGUUGUAAAGCUCUUUUACCCGGGAUGAUAAUGACAGUACCGGCAGAAUAAGCGCCGGCUAACUCCGUG